rnacentral:rRNA from 1 species
CACCCAGGGUAGUGGAUCACUAGGCUCGUGGGUCGAUGAAGAACGCAGCAAAUUGCGCGUCGACAUGUCAACUGCAGGACAUAUGAACAUCGACGUUUCGAACGCACAUUGCGGUCCAUGGAUUCCGUUCCCAGGCCACGUCUGGCUGAGGGUCG